rnacentral:rRNA from 1 species
AUUGAACGCUAGCGGGAGGCUUUACACAUGCAAGUCGAACGAGUGGCGGACGGGUGAGUAAUAUAUCGGAACGUGCCCAAUAGCGGGGGAUAACUACUCGAAAGAGUGGCUAAUACCGCAUACAAUCGGAUGGGCCCAUAUGGGAUUAGCUGUUGGGUGGGGUAAAGGCUCACCAAGGCAACGAUCCGUAGCUGGUUUGAGAGGAUGACCAGCCACACUGGGACUGAGAAACGGCCCAGACUCCUACGGGAGGCAGCAGUGGGGAAUUUUGGACAAUGGGGGAAAGCCUGAUGCAGCCAUGCCGCGUGUAUGCGAAGGCCUUCGGGGUGUAAAGUACUUUUGGCGGGGAGGCGGUAUCUGCAGAAUAAGCACCGGCUAACUCCGUGCCAGCAGCCGCGGUAAUUC